GUACGGGGAAGGAUGAGAAGCUUCGACUAAGGUUCGAUUCGAGCGAAAGCGAGAAAGCGUUGCCGCAGGCAACGACCCGAAGGGCGAAGCGCGCAGCGCUGAGUCAUCCUUCCCCCACCACCA
rnacentral:sRNA from 1 species